rnacentral:rRNA from 1 species
CACGUAGGGCGCAAGCGUUGUCCGGAAUUAUUGGGCGUAAAGAGCUCGUAGGUGGUUUGUUACGUCUGCUGUGAAAAACCUAGGGCUUAACCCUGGGCUUGCAGUGGAUACGGGCAGACUAGAGGUAGGUAGGGGAGAAUGGAAUUCCUGGUGUAGCGGUGAAAAUGCGUAGAGAUCCGGAAGAACACCGGUGGCGAAGGCGGUUAGCUGGGGCAGUUGCUGACACUGAGGCGCGACAGCGUGGGGGAGCAAAACAGGG